rnacentral:tRNA from 1 species
GGAUGGGUGGCAGAGUGGUCGAAUGCGCACGCUUGGAAAGCGUGUGUGCAGCAAUGCACCGAGGGUUCGAAUCCCUCCCCAUCCGCCA